rnacentral:rRNA from 1 species
UACGUAGGUGGCGAGCGUUGUCCGGAUUUACUGGGCGUAAAGAGCGCGCAGGCGGUCGUACAAGUCACGUGUGAAAGCCCCCGGCUCAACUGGGGAGGGUCACGCGAUACUGUUCGACUCGAAGGCAGGAGAGGGAAGUGGAAUUCCCGGUGUAGUGGUGAAAUGCGUAGAUAUCGGGGAGGAACACCAGUGGCGAAGGCGACUUCC